CAUGUGUUAAAAUCAAUAUUGAUAGGAGAUGUGUUAAUAAACAUAUUUAUAUCCUAACAGAUAAUCAAGCUGCAUUAAAAAUACAUGAUAGUUCAUGCUUUACUUCAAAGCCUGCAUGGGAAUGUCAUCUCAUUAUGGAACUAGCUACCAAGAACAGGUUCAAUUUUUUUGGCACAAGGGGAUUGAGGGCAAUGAGGUUGAAGAUGGGUUGGCCAAGGAAGGAGUUUCUCAUUUCUUUAUUGGACCUGAGUCUGUCCUGGGCAUCAAAUCUGAUGCAUUUGAGCAGGCUGUCAGAGACUGGUUUGCAGCUCAAC
rnacentral:lncRNA from 1 species